rnacentral:rRNA from 1 species
GACGAACGCUGGCGGCGUGCCUAACACAUGCAAGUCGAGCGGUUCUUAAGCUGUAGUUUACUAUAGCUUAAGAAUAGCGGCGAACGGGUGAGUAACACGUGGGCAACCUGUCCGAAAGAUCGGGAUAACAGUCCGAAAGGGCUGCUAAUACCGAAUACGCUUACCGGGUCGCAUGAUCCGGUAAGGAAAGGUCGGCAACUUCCGCUUUCGGGUGGGCCCGCGUCCCAUUAGCUAGUUGGUAGGGUAACGGCCUACCAAGGCAACGAUGGGUAGCUGGUCUGAGAGGAUGGUCAGCCACACUGGGACUGAGACACGGCCCAGACUCCUACGGGAGGCAGCAGUGGGGAAUCUUGCGCAAUGGGCGAAAGCCUGACGCAGCGACGCCGCGUGAGCGAGGAAGGCCUUCGGGUCGUAAAGGCUCUGUCAGAGGGGACGAUAAUGACGGUACCCUCAGAGGAAGCCCCGGCUAACUACGUG